UACGUAGGGUGCGAGCGUUAAUCGGAAUUACUGGGCGUAAAGCGUGCGCAGGCGGUUUUGUCAGCCAGAUGUGAAAGCCCCGGGCUUAACCUGGGAAUGGCAUUUGGGACUGCAAGGCUUGAGUGCGGCAGAGGAGACUGGAAUUCCUGGUGUAGCAGUGAAAUGCGUAGAUAUCAGGAGGAAUACCGAUGGCGAAGGCAGGUCUCUGGGCUGACACUGACGCUCAUGCACGAAAGCGUGGGGAGCAAACAGG
rnacentral:rRNA from 1 species